rnacentral:rRNA from 1 species
CCUUCCUCUCAGACAUGCCAUGCAAGUGUCAGUACAGGUCGCUUGACGGCCAAAACCGCGAACGGCUCAUUAAAACGGUCGUAAUUUACUAGAUCGUACGUAUCCCACGUGGAUAACUGUGGUAAUUCUAGAGCUAAUACAUGCAUGCGAGCUCCGAUCCUCGCCAGUCGGCAACGGCUGGCUCGGUUCACGCCGAGUAGAGGUACGAGCGCUUUUAUUAGAACAAGACCGACCGGCUGCGUGUCUUCGGGCGCGUAGCCGUGGCCGGCUUUCGGGCCGGUCUAAUCUAGUUGGUGACUCUGGAUAACUGUAGCCGAUCGCUAACGGCUUUACGCCGGCGACGGUUCUUCUAAGCGUCUGAUCUAUCAACUUUCGACGGUAGGUUAACAAGCCUACCGUGGUGAUAACGGGUAACGGAGAAUCAGGGUUCGAUUCCGGAGAGGGAGCCUGAGAAACGGCUACCACAUCCAAGGAAGGCAGCAGGCGCGCAAAUUACCCACUCCCGGCACGGGGAGGUAGUGACGAAAAAUAACGAUGCGGGACUCAUUUCCGAGGCCCCGUAAUCGGAAUGAGAACAAAAUAAACGAGUUAACGAGGAUCAAUUGGAGGGCAAGUCUGGUGCCAGCAGCCGCGGUAAUUCCAGCUCCAAUAGCGUAUAUUAAAGUUGUUGCGGUUAAAAAGCUCGUAGUCGGAUUUACAGCUUCGGCCGUGACGGUCCGUCGCUCCGUUCUGUCCGGCUUGUCGUCCGUUUCGGUCGAGCUUCGGCUUCGUACCGUACGGCUCGGCGGUCGGCGGCGGGCGCGGUUGCUUCGGCAAAAAAGCCGUCCGGUUUCCGAGGUGCAAAAUCGCGAACGAAAGUUCAGAUUUGCCGACGGUCGUUCGCUAUCGGUCUUCGGGCCGAGCGUGUUUCGCCGUCAUGCCCUUGAUUGGGUGUGGCGCGGGGCAAGAUCGUCGGCGCAUCACUUUGAAAAAWUUAGAGUGCUCAAAGCGGGCGAGGCGUUCAAUGCGCUGCAUAUCGCUCGAACAGGUCAGCAUGGAAUGACGGAACAGGACCGCGGUUCUAUUCUGUCCGGUCUAUAGGACUCGUGGUAAUGAUCGAUAGAGRCUGACGGGGGCAUUCGUACUGCGACGCUAGAGGUGAAAUUCUUGGACCGUCGCAAGACGAACAACUGCGAAAGCAUUUGCCAAGAAUGCUCUCGUUGAUCAAGAACGAAAGUUGGAGGUUCGAAGGCGAUCAGAUACCGCCCUAGUUCUAACCGUAAACGAUGCCAACUGACGAUUCGCUCGUGUUAAUUUAUUUAAAAAAAUGACCGAGUGAGCAGUCUCCGGGAAACCAAAGUUUUCAGGUUCCGGGGGAAGUAUGGUUGCAAAGCUGAAACUUAAAGGAAUUGACGGAAGGGCACCACCAGGAGUGGAGSCUGCGGCUUAAUUUGACUCAACACGGGAAAACUCACCCGGCCCGGACACUGUAAAGAUUGACGUAUUAAGAGCUACUUCUCGAUUCAGUGGGUGGUGGUGCAUGGCCGUUCUUAGUUGGUGGAGUGAUUUGUCUGGUUGAUUCCGAUAACGAACGAGACUCUAGCCUGCUAAAUAGGCGUCCGAUUAACGGCCCACGUUCGGUCCCCGGUUGGCGUUCGCGCGUCGAUCGGUGCGUCUCGGGCGUGGGCAUCGUCGGGCGAAGCCGCUUCACGGCGGCGAGACUUCUUAGAGGGACUGGCGGCGUCUAGCCGCACGAAAUUGAGCGAUAACAGGUCUGUGAUGCCCUUAGAUGUCCGGGGCCGCACGCGCGCUACACUGAACGAGUCAACGUGCGUUCGCUUCCCUGUCCGAAAGGACCGGGCAACCCGUUGAAUCUCGUUCGUGAUAGGGAUCGGGGCUUGUAAUUAUUCCCCGUGAACGAGGAAUUCCCAGUAGGUGCGAGUCAUUAACUCGCGCCGACUACGUCCCUGCCCUUUGUACACACCGCCCGUCGCUACUACCGAUCGAAUGGUUUAGCGAGGUCUUCGGACUGAUCGCGCUCUGGCUCGGUUCGCUGUGCCGGUACGUGGUCUGGAAAGAUGACCAAACUAGACUAUUAGAGGUAGAAAGUGAGCAGCGGAGCCCCCCG